GACGAACCGAGCGAACGUUGUUCGGAAUCACUGGGCUUAAAGGGCGCGUAGGCGGGCGAUCAAGUCGGUGGUGAAAUCCUACAGCUUAACUGUAGAACUGCCUCCGAUACUGGUUGUCUCGAGGAAGGUAGGGGCGUACGGAACAGUUGGUGGAGCGGUGAAAUGCGUUGAUAUCAACUGGAACUCCGGUGGCGAAGGCGGUACGCUGGACCUUUUCUGACGCUGAGGCGGCGAAAGCCAGGGGAGCAAACGGG
rnacentral:rRNA from 1 species